rnacentral:lncRNA from 10 species
GUUGGAUUAUUGGGAGCUCUCGAGACAUGUUUAAGGGAAGGGGGUGGAGAGUAGGAAGUCCUAGCCCCAUCAGUACACAGGCAAAUCACCUGACCUUUCUGAGUCCCGGUAUCCUCCUGUGAAAUAGGGAUAACACCUUCUUUGCUCCUCUUACAGUGGCUGAGAGGGUCACAGAAGUUCACAAAUGUGAAAGUGCUUGGCAGACUAUAAAGCACUGAAGAUAUUCUGAGUUUUGCUACUAUUAUGUCUGUUUGUUCACUAGAAGAAAGCAUCUAUGCAGAUAUUGAAACAGCCAAAGCGAGGAAGAACUCCAUGAUCUCCCCUCGCCUCACAGACUUAAGCCAGGAAGGCAGUCCAGGAAUCCACAAUAAACAACUGCAGCUGGCCUGUUCUGUUUCUCGCACAGUGGACCUGAGUUCUUUUCUAGAAUCUGUUCUGCAGCAGGGAAGGUAAAGCUGGAGGCACGAAUCGCUUCACAAAGACAAUAAAAUAAUUGUAAAAAAAGAAAGCAGUCAUCAUAAAGACUGCCAUGGACACAAAGCUACAUCACUAAUGACCAUGCAGCUGGAGACGGGAAUGAGAAAGAGACCGGGAGUGGACGGUGUGGUUAGAAGGACAGCCAUUACUCUCACACCUGUAAUCCCAGCACUUUGGGAGGCCGAGG